UACGGGGGGGGCAAGCGUUGUUCGGAAUUACUGGGCGUAAAGGGCUCGUAGGCGGCCAACUAAGUCAGACGUGAAAUCCCUCGGCUUAACCGGGGAACUGCGUCUGAUACUGGAUGGCUUGAGUUUGGGAGAGGGAUGCGGAAUUCCAGGUGUAGCGGUGAAAUGCGUAGAGAUCAGGAAGAACACCCGUGGCGAAGGCGGCCCACUGGGCCGGUGCUGACGCUGAGGCGCGAAGGCGUGGGGAGCGAACGGG
rnacentral:rRNA from 1 species